UAAUACAUGCAAGUCGAACGAACUCUGGUAUUGAUUGGUGCUUGCAUCAUGAUUUACAUUUGAGUGAGUGGCGAACUGGUGAGUAACACGUGGGAAACCUGCCCAGAAGCGGGGGAUAACACCUGGAAACAGAUGCUAAUACCGCAUAACAACUUGGACCGCAUGGUCCGAGUUUGAAAGAUGGCUUCGGCUAUCACUUUUGGAUGGUCCCGCGGCGUAUUAGCUAGAUGGUGRGGUAACGGCUCACCAUGGCAAUGAUACGUAGCCGACCUGAGAGGGUAAUCGGCCACAUUGGGACUGAGACACGGCCCAAACUCCUACGGGAGGCAGCAGUAGGGAAUCUUCCACAAUGGACGAAAGUCUGAUGGAGCAACGCCGCGUGAGUGAAGAAGGGUUUCGGCUCGUAAAACUCUGUUGUUAAAGAAGAACAUAUCUGAGAGUAACUGUUCAGGUAUUGACGGUAUUUAACCAGAAAGCCACGGCUAACUACGUGCCAGCAGCCGCGGUAAUACGUAGGUGGCAAGCGUUGUCCGGAUUUAUUGGGCGUAAAGCGAGCGCAGGCGGUUUUUUAAGUCUGAUGUGAAAGCCUUCGGCUCAACCGAAGAAGUGCAUCGGAAACUGGGAAACUUGAGUGCAGAAGAGGACAGUGGAACUCCAUGUGUAGCGGUGAAAUGCGUAGAUAUAUGGAAGAACACCAGUGGCGAAGGCGGCUGUCUGGUCUGUAACUGACGCUGAGGCUCGAA
rnacentral:rRNA from 1 species